GUGACAUCAGUUUUUUUCCUAACAUAGGAGCAGUCUCACCGGUAACAGUUCGCAGUUGCACAGCAGUUGGUUCCCAAGCCACCCACUCAGGAACAAUGUCCGGCCGCACAAUCGUCACAGUGGACCCAGUGUCCACCAAGGCUGUACACGCUGUCCCCUCCACCGCAACUGCCUCCCCCCAGAUGACCUCGUUCCUCCUCGCUACCUCGAACGCCUCCUGCAGCGAACGUGGUCCCGCCAGCUGGGUUUGUGCUCGCAGUUCCGGAGGAGUCAAAGCCAAGAUGAAACGGUCGCGGGCUAGUUCAUCCUGCACGGUCGGCGACAUGUGACCGUAAGCUCGCCGGGUCAGGCCCUCGAUGUCGUUAACCAACGAUCUGAGCGAUUCUCCCGGUAAC
ensembl:lncRNA